rnacentral:rRNA from 1 species
CCCCCAGACUCCUACGGGAGGCAGCAGUGAGGAAUAUUGCACAAUGGGGGAAACCCUGAUGCAGCAACGCCGCGUGAGUGAAGAAGUAUUUCGGUAUGUAAAGCUCUAUCAGCAGGGAAGAAAAUGACGGUACCUGAGUAAGAAGCCCCGGCUAACUACGUGCCAGCAGCCGCGGUAAUACGUAGGGGGCAAGCGUUAUCCGGAUUUACUGGGUGUAAAGGGAGCGUAGACGGCGAUACAAGUCUGAAGUGAAAGCCCGGGGCUCAACCCCGGGACUGCUUUGGAAACUGUGUUGCUGGAGUGCUGGAGAGGCAAGCGGAAUUUCUAGUGUAGCGGUGAAAUGCGUAGAUAUCAGGAGGAACACCGGCGGCGAAGGCGGCCUGCUGGACCGUGACUGACGUUGAGGCUCGAGAGCGUGGGGAGCAAACAGGAUUAGAUACCCUUGUAUU